GGUUCGGACCCGAGGAACCGAGGACCCCAGCAGUGAGUUAGCUGCUUCAGUGUCUUGUCAGAGCUAGCCUAAGGUGAGUGGAAUAACUCUUUAUGAUUUUAAGUAAAUAAAUCAGUUCUUAAUAUGAUUCACGCAUCAUGAAUGCCAUGAGAUAUACUAGGGUGCUUGCAUUAGAACUCACGAAUAUGUUGCAUUGCAUAUUAUGUUGUUGAUGUGGAUGAAUGUUGGAUGAUCCUUUAGCCCGCACUAUGAUAUGAUAUGAUAUGGUAUGGUAUGGAAGACCAGUGAGGCCCAUUCUACACCCCUGGCACUAUGUAAGAGAAAGACCAGUGAGGCCCAUUCUACACCCCUGGCAUAUUGGAAUGUUAUGUUAUGUAAUGUAAGAGAAAGACCAGUGAGGCCCAGUCUACGCCCUUGGCACUAUUGGAAUGUGUAGUGGGCUAUUGGUGACAAGUUCAUCCUUGACGUGAUUUGUCUGUGAUGUGAUGCAUUCCAUGAUAUCAUAUGUUUUAAAUAUAAUGUUUUAUUAUUCUGCUCACUGGGCUCUAGUAGCUCACCCCACUCCCUUAAUCCCCCAGGUUUGCAGGUACGGGAUAGACCAGGAGGCCAGCUAGAGUAAAGUGAUGUCUUGUAAUAGCUAGUUGUGGACAUGAGAAUAUUGUAAUGUAAUGUAUCGAAUAGUUAUGAAAUGUUAAGGAUUGUAUUGAGGAUAGAAUUGUGCUUGACUCUAGUAUGUUAGUUAAUCCCUUUAUACAUGGUCUUUAAUAAUGUUUUAUCAUUGUUUAUGUAAACCAAACUUAAGUUAUGAUAUGUUACCCCAUUGGAGCAAUUGAUGAGGACUCCAGUGUGGGGUUGAUGUUCAUGUUUAUGAAUAGUGCAUGCACGGGUUGAGUUUGGUGAUUGAAUGAAAAGAAAAGUUCAAAAUUUUUAUGUAUGUGUUGACCAUGUAUGGGAUUAAACAGGUUUACAGGAU
rnacentral:lncRNA from 1 species